rnacentral:rRNA from 1 species
GAUGAACGCUGGCGGCGUGCCUAAUACAUGCAAGUCGAGCGAACAGACGAGGAGCUUGCUCCUCUGACGUUAGCGGCGGACGGGUGAGUAACACGUGGAUAACCUACCUAUAAGACUGGGAUAACUUCGGGAAACCGGAGCUAAUACCGGAUAAUAUAUUGAACCGCAUGGUUCAAUAGUGAAAGACGGUUUUGCUGUCACUUAUAGAUGGAUCCGCGCCGCAUUAGCUAGUUGGUACGGUAACGGCUUACCAAGGCAACGAUGCGUAGCCGACCGGAGAGAGGGAUCGGCCACACUGGAACUGAGACACGGUCCAGACUCCUACGGGAGGCAGCAGUAGGGAAUCUUCCGCAAUGGGCGAAAGCCUGACGGAGCAACGCCGCGUGAGUGAUGAAGGUCUUCGGAUCGUAAAACUCUGUUAUUAGGGAAGAACAAAUGUGUAAGUAACUAUGCACGUCUUGACGGUACCUAAUCAGAAAGCCACGGCUAACUACGUG